GUACGUUUAAAAAAAAAAUCUCUCCAGGAUACAAGAAUAAGUUGCAUUUCCUUGCUCCAUUAGGGCCUCUGGGACUUGAGCCGGUCCGUACCCUAAUAGAGACGCAGUUGUAGGCUGGACGUGAUGCACAGAGGAAAGCGAACUCUAGUUCCCCGAAAAAAUAGUUAAUAAACAGUGGACGAUGUAGCUCACAGUGACACUAGCGAGGGUCUCCCUGCGCGGGGUUCCCCUGAUUUCCUAGCGGGACCCGAGCGGGUGGCUUUAAGCGCAGCGCAAUGCCGGGCGCCACGACCUCAAUUUCCAGCUGAUGAGCGGCUGGACACGCUGUGGAAAUCAGCCUCCGCGGCCGCCGGCUAUGCCCCCAAACCAACGACCUCUGAAAAAACACGGGACCCCCAAAGUCUUAUAAUCGAGAACAAGAAGCCCCCAGAGAGAGAGAACCAGACAAGGGACUACAGAAGUCUCCCCUGGUCCUGUGUAACGAAUUCCUCAGCGCUGUAGACGCUUCUCUGCGGACUGGCGCUCAAGGGCUCCAGAAUAGACAUGCAAAGUCACCCGCGCCGAACGUAAGCCGGCUCCUGGCGCACACAGCCCUCGAAUUCCCUCCCGCGCUGGGCCUGGGGCACGAUUCCUCCUCCCUCUGCGACACUCGGUCCUCGCUCUCGUGGCCCGCACUGCCCCUGCGCAGACCCCCGCGGAUGGAGCUCGGAGAAACAGGGUGGAGCAGGGCAGGUCCUGCUGAUGGAAAAACGGAGAACGAAUUCAGCUGCAAGGCUAAAUUACAGAACACCCUCGAAUUCCAUUUUUUCUCGAGGAAACAACAACAUCGCCGCUCUCGAGGGAGGGAGAGAAGACGUUACCGCCCUCAUACAAAGGGGAGCACCGGAGACCCAGAGAGGUGAAGACGCUCGGUGUUGCGCUCGGCAACAGGUCUCGUAUCUAGAUUCCUGAGACUUAGUUCUUUUUUCCAUUCUAUUUAAUAUCGAGUUUCUAUAAUGAAACACUUUUUUAAACUCUCGUUUUGCUUUUCAGAUAUUUC
rnacentral:lncRNA from 1 species